rnacentral:rRNA from 1 species
GACGAACGCUGGCGGCGUGCUUAACACAUGCAAGUCGAACGCUGAAGCCCACUUCGGUGGGUAGAUGAGUGGCGAACGGGUGAGUAACACGUGGGCAACCUGCCCUGUACUUCGGGAUAAGCCCGGGAAACUGGGUCUAAUACCGGAUAUGACUGCACAUCGCAUGGUGUGCAGUGGAAAGUUCCGGCGGUACAGGUUGGGCCCGCGGCCUAUCAGUUUGAUGGUGGGGUAAUGGCCUACCAUGGCGAUGACGGGUAGCCGGCCUGAGAGGGCGACC